CUUCGAGUCGUUGAUUUCACACUGCCGAGAAAAGCCUCUAGAUAGAAAAUAGGUGCCCGUACCGCAAACCGACACAGGUAGUCAAGAUGAGAAUUCUAAGGUGAGCGAGCGAACUCUCGUUAAGGAACUCGGCAAAAUGACCCCGUAACUUCGGGAGAAGGGGUGCUCUUUAGGGUUAACGCCCAGAAGAGCCGCAGUGAAUAGGCCCAAGCGACUGUUUAUCAAAAACACAGGUCUCUGCUAAACCGUAAGGUGAUGUAUAGGGGCUGACGCCUGCCCGGUGCUGGAAGGUUAAGAGGAGUGGUUAGCUUCUGCGAAGCUACGAAUCGAAGCCCCAGUAAACGGCGGCCGUAACUAUAACGGUCCUAAGGUAGCGAAAUUCCUUGUCGGGUAAGUUCCGACCCGCACGAAAGGCGUAACGAUUUGGGCACUGUCUCAACGAGAGACUCGGUGAAAUCAUAGUACCUGUGAAGAUGCAGGUUACCCGCGACAGGACGGAAAGACCCCGUGGAGCUUUACUGUAGCCUGAUAUUGAAAUUCGGCACAGCUUGUACAGGAUAGGUAGGAGCCUUUGAAACGUGAGCGCUAGCUUACGUGGAGGCGCUGGUGGGAUACUACCCUAGCUGUGUUGGCUUUCUAACCCGCACCACUUAUCGUGGUGGGAGACAGUGUCAGGCGGGCAGUUUGACUGGGGCGGUCGCCUCCUAAAAGGUAACGGAGGCGCUCAAAGGUUCCCUCAGAAUGGUUGGAAAUCAUUCAUAGAGUGUAAAGGCAUAAGGGAGCUUGACUGCGAGACCUACAAGUCGAGCAGGGUCGAAAGACGGACUUAGUGAUCCGGUGGUUCCGCAUGGAAGGGCCAUCGCUCAACGGAUAAAAGCUACCCCGGGGAUAACAGGCUUAUCUCCCCCAAGAGUUCACAUCGACGGGGAGGUUUGGCACCUCGAUGUCGGCUCAUCGCAUCCUGGGGCUGUAGUCGGUCCCAAGGGUUGGGCUGUUCGCCCAUUAAAGCGGUACGCGAGCUGGGUUCAGAACGUCGUGAGACAGUUCGGUCCCUAUCCGUCGUGGGCGUAGGAAAUUUGAGAGGAGCUGUCCUUAGUACGAGAGGACCGGGAUGGACAUACCUCUGGUGUACCAGUUGUCGUGCCAACGGCAUAGCUGGGUAGCUAUGUGUGGACGGGAUAAGUGCUGAAAGCAUCUAAGCAUGAAGCCCCCCUCAAGAUGAGAUUUCCCAACUUCGGUUAUAAGAUCCCUCAAAGAUGAUGAGGUUAAUAGGUUCGAGGUGGAAGUAUGGUGACAUGUGGAGCUGACGAAUACUAAUCGAUCGAAGACUUAAUCAAAUU
rnacentral:rRNA from 1 species